GGCUCUGUGGCGCAAUGGAUAGCGCAUUGGACUUCUAGUAAAAUAAAGACAUUCAAAGGUUGUGGGUUCGAGUCCCACCAGAGUCG
rfam:Xenopus tropicalis strain Nigerian Chr10_contig_520, whole genome shotgun sequence.